rnacentral:misc_RNA from 1 species
GGAUUUUUUACAGCCUUGAACUUGUGGAAUUUUAGCUGGAGACUUCCCUCUUGUACUGAUGAUCUACUCUCCAAGACGGCUAUGAAGGAUGUGAAUAUGAAGGUGAGAUUAGGUCUGGAAUUAAGAUUUCUCCCCUAAAACUUCAAAACUAAAAAACACCCUUCUGUUUUUUACGGCUCCUCUAUUUAUAUUGAAUGAUCUAAGGUUAGGUUUUUAGAGUCCUCAAGGCAUUAGGAGUCUCUUCUCUCUGUCAAAGCUGGAGCUGGAACCAAUUCAGGAAACUGAUUGUCGCGUGAUACACGGCCCGUGUGUCACUAUACGACCCAGGGCCAUGUAACUUACUGGAGCUUGAAUUAGUGCAUCUUGUAUCGGGACAGGACUUUACACGGGCCUCAGGUAGUUACAUGGGCCUGAUUACACAGCCUGUGCACUUUUGUACUUCAGGGAAAUCUUCAAGCUUGGC